GCCAAAAAGACCAUUCCAAUUAAUUUAUUUUUUUUUACAGAAAAAAAAUAUAUAUAUAUAAUUAAAUGCAUAAAUAUAUCCUCUGUUGGCAGCUCCUCCUCAUAAAUAUAAUCUGCUCGCUCACACAUCCUUCAAAUUUAGACCCCUAAGAGGGAGGGAGGAUUCUCCGUCAGCUGUAUGAACACUUUUAUCAUGGUGUUUGCUCUGUUCUGUCUACAGCAGCAGCAACAGGGCAACUUCAGCUCUUAUUUUUAAUGAAGAGACGGAGAUAGUGCACAGAUGUUGGUAAUUAAAAUCUCAGCUCUAACAAGGAAGGAAGGACAGAUGGAGAGAGAGAUUCACCAACCAGCUAGCUGCAUGAUUCCUGCUGAUUAAAUUCUCCAGAACCAGUAUCCAAAGAAUAAAAGUGAAUUGGAGGAUGAGAUUCAUGCCUUGAGCAGCCUGUUGCAGGUACCAAUGAACAGAGGCAGAUGUCGGUGGUAUGGCAGCAGAGGCUGGACCUUCCCAACCAAUUCCAUUACAUCCCAUUGCCGUGUGACAGAUGGCAGCAGAGGGGCAGUCUGACACAAUAGCAUCUGACAUGGGAGUGCACAUGAAGCAAAGCAGUAACUGAGCAAAAUCAGUAGAAAUUCUGAGUGUGAACAGCUGCUGCAGAAGGCAGUGGGAAUUAUGAAGAUUCAGCAUCCAUCACCACUCAGAAAUAUGGUGGACAGAAUGGCUGCAAAGUCCCUAGCUAUGCCACUUGUCUUCACUGAGAAUGAUGAAAGAAGUCCACAAAAUAAGCCACAAGACCAGAAGAGAAAAGAUUUUGGAAGGAAGAGCAAAAACCCUAGACCGUGAUAGAACAGAGUCAUCUGGCUGCAAGGAAGCACUGAAGCUGUUUCCAGCAGGCUUGUUACUGCAGAGACUGAUCAGGUUCUCAGAGAUAAAAAAUCCACGGGACAAAACCAAUAUAAGGCAUUUUUUUCAGCUGAGUGCCAGAGAGAUGUGAAAAGAAACGCACAUCAUCAUCUACAAGCCAAACUGACUCCCUUCAGUGUUACAAAUUGGUACUAAUGCAGAACCUGGGCAUUAAAUAAAUGAAAAUUGGACAGUACAAGCCUGAGGAUACAAUGUCCCCGUACUGAAGAAGCCAAGAAAAACUCUUAUUGACUUCAACAAGCUCUACAUCUGAUCUUUGGCCUACACUGUGCAAGAAAGUACAUAUAAAUUAUACAAUCAGUACAGUGUCUGUCAUAAUUACAUUUAUGCUAUCAGUUUGAGUUAUUGAACAAAUAUGGGAACUGACUGCAUGCAAAGGCCCAGGCUCAUCUUACUCCAUCCACAGCAAGAAUUUUGCCUGAAUAUGAUACCUGGGCUCAAAACUAAUAUUGCUAACUCUGAUUCAAUGUUGCAUUAGUGUUCUUCUUGAAGCCUCAGAUACUCUAACAAGUCGGAUGUUAUGAAAUACUAAUCUGUAACACAGCAUGUUUCUCCCUAUCGUGGGCUUCCUGAAAGCCUUCAAUAUGGAAAUGAGGCACUUAAAAGGCAAACACUGCAUCCACCGUGUGCCAGAGAUUUUGUUUCUUCUUCUUCUUCUUCUUCUUUUUUUUUUUUUUUUUCUUUCUGUCUGGUUUGAAAGCCAUCCUGAGAGCUUUCCUUGAGCCAAUGCCAAUUUUCAGUUUUCAGAUAUCCCUUAUGCCGAUAAAGCCAUGAUGAUACCAGAAGAAGGGGAUUCACAAAUAUUGUGUGAUUUUAUAUCUUUAUCAGUGUCUUUCAAUGGAAAUAUGACAUCACUACUGCUAGUGGUAACUGAUAUCAGAAACCAAGCUUUCUGAGUAUGUAAGAUAUUUUUGUUCUCUUACAAAAAUACAGGCUUGCCUGUUUAUUACAAAGUCUGCUUCUAAAUUGUUUCUAACAAAAUCACUAACUGUGUAAAUAAAAACACCUUAUUAAAAUUGACUAAUCUAUAACAGGAAUAGGUAUCCAUUUUCUUUCUUUUAAUUGCCAUCAGUUUCAGAAAUAACAAACACCUCUCACAUCUCUAUUCUUACCCACCUUACAGAAGUGACAACCUCAGAAGCUGCCAACGUAGUUGCAUUAAGGUAUAUGUGUAAUUUUGCAUAGUAGGAAAAAAUAUUAAGCUUCCCGACACAUUUUGUGUAAGCUUUUCAAAUAUAGUAAGCUAAAAACAAAAUCUCAGCCCUUGACCUGUUGAGUGUUAACAAAAUUCCAUCUGGUCACUUAGGAGCUGUGCCAACAUUACCACACAAAGAGCCUUUGAGCCAUUUGAAUGUUCAAGAGUCAUUUGACAGCUUUUUUAUUUAUCCCCUCUUUUUUUCUUUUUCUUUUUUGUCAGAUACACACCUAAUAACAUACUACAGAUGGCUAGGUUCUAACAAGUUUACUUGCAUGUAAGCUUGAAACUACCCUUGAAAGUAAACUGCUGAGUUUUUGCUUUGGGUUGUUGGUUGGGUUUAUGUAUUUUUUCUAACGUUUAGGAUUGUUCAGUCUACUGCUGCUCCGAUUUCCUUUUUAGGCAAAACAAAAGUGAAAGUGAAGACCUGGUGCAUGGCUGUUCUAAAAAUGUGAACAUAAUAAGACCGCUCAGCCUGCUCGAGGCCAACAGAAUGGGAGUGCGUAGUAAAAAUGUCACAAUAGGCAACAAGUUAAACAAAUGUCAGAUAUCUUCAUGGGGAAACAAAUCUCACUCCGAAGUGAGAGAGAUUUCAGUUACAGAUGAGUACUUCACUCAGUACGCGUUAAGUGCGUAUCUUUUAGUGCCAAAAUCAGUUAUUGAUUUAUUCCUUAAUCACUGUGCUAAAAUAUGUGCAUUAAAUAGUGAGAAAUAAAUUCCGCACUGUAAUCUAUAUUCAAAUCUAUGUUGGAAAAACAAAUUUGGCUUGAGGGGAAAAAAAAGAAGUAAAUAAACAGAAAUUUUGAGCCACCUGAUCUAGCUUCAGGGUUAGUCCUGCUUGACCUCCCAUAUCCCUAGUGACCUGCUUUUUCAUGUGAUGCUCUGAGUCCAACUGAUAAGGUUGUAUGCACCACCCAUACACAAAAAUGAGCUGCCUGGCCUGUAUACAGACUUCAACACGAAACAACUAGUAAAGCAACCAUAGAAUAGCUGAAUCAUAGAAUGGCCUGGGUUGAAAAGGACCUCAAAGAUCAUCUAGUUUCAAUCCCCUUGCCGUGGGCAGAGUUACCGACCACUAGAGCAGGCUGCCGAGAGCCACAUUCAGCCUGGCCUUGAAUGCAUCCAGGGAUGGGGCACCCACAACCUCCUUGUGCAACCUGUUCCAGUGAGUGGUUGAGGAGGAGUCAAAACAUCGCAAGACUGGAAGAUGUAAUCUAGGCCAUCCACUCUAGCACAAUAUCCAGUCAAGAGACAAGUAAAGCAAUACCUAGUGCUCCACUAGACUCUUAGCUAGAAGAUCACUGGUCUGGGAUUUGAGAAAUACAGAGUGAGAAAAAAAACCUAUUUUAGUUAUAAGCAGUGAUUUAGUAACACGCAUUCCUAUCCCUCAACACCUUUUAACUUAAUCAAGCACAGACUCUUUAAAUCAGUGGGAUUAAUUUAUGUCUUAAAUCUCUGUAGGAUAAGGAUCCAGGAAGGCCUGAUUCUGCCACUACUUAGAUGUUAGCAACUUUAUCAUUCUUACUGGAGUGCUUUGUAAAUUGUCUUCCACACAUGUAUAAACAGUUGGAGGUCCUAAUAUAAAUCAAAUACAAAAGGGAACAGGACUUGUAAAAGUGUAGAAUAAUUUUUUACUGUUGUUUUAAUUAAUUUGUAGCCAAUUGAAAAAAAACAGUUUUGGAAAGGAUUUGGAAUAGAUCUUCAGUUUUGACAUUCUUUUCUGCCUUUGGCUGUUGACUUAACUAGAUCUACCUACUCUAAUUUUCUUCAAAGCCAUCAAAUAUAUGAUAAGGACACAAAGAAUAUUCUGCUACAGAAAAUAAAACAGCCCAAGAAGUGAUAAAACAGUGACUAAUCUAGGAAAUGCUCUGAGGCUUUAAGGAAAGGCUAUUAGAGGCUGAAUAGCAGGGCAUAAUGAUCUUUCUGUAUGUUCUAUAAUUACUCAGCGCUACAUUUUUAGAGAUAUCUUCACAUCUUAUGCUGAGGUUGUUUUUAAAAAUUAGCAAUUAACGUAAUCUGCUUUGGUACUCAUGGUCAGAAAUCUUAAAUUUUAAUCUACUAAUACCUUUUCUUUGUUUUGCUAUAGUACUUUUGCACGUGAUUACUGGAUACAGAGGGUACUAGCCUACAAAUGCUCGCCAUCCUAGAAGAAAGUCUGGAUCCGGAGCAUCUUUCUAAACAGAAUGCAUAGGAUAUACGGCAUCAAUAAAGCACUGCACUGAUAGGAUCAGCUCAGAUACACUCUAGAGGAAAAGGAUUCAACUGAGUUUUCACGUAAGGCUGACACAAACCUGGAGAUGAAUCAGACGGCAAAAUUAAAACGGUGAGCAAAAUGCUUAAUAUAGCAGGUUUAAAAGAAAUAUUUCCAUAAAACCCACCAGUAUUCUGCAUGAUUACUGCAGUUAUAAGUGAUCGUUAACCUUUGCACAGCAUUUAAGAGCUUUAUUUAGUAAAAAUUAUACAACAGUGACAGAGCAGUAAACAUGAUACUGAUGUUCUGAGGCUGCACAUUAAGGCACGUACGCACAGCUGGGUAAAUCAUCAUCCAAAUGUUAUAAGCCUCAAGGAUUAUUUCAAACCAUUUCAAUGAGCAUUUGAAUGAAUGAGAAGAUGCAGUAUGUAUCCACUGAAAAUAUGGUUUUGGAGCAAGACAGUGUGACAGUGCAAAUCAGGAAAAAUAAAUCUCUGAAAGAAAAGGCUACUUCAUAUGUCAUAAAUCUCAUGUCUCUUAAUUAAGUUAUUAACUGUCAAUUCUGCAACCUGUAUUCAGCUGUGUUCAGCCAAUAUCCCCAAAAUAAGUUAAAUGCUCCUAAUACAUGUCUGUAAGAGGCUCAAUUAAAAAAUAAUAAUAAUAAUAAAAAAGGCAACCAAGAUUUCUUCCUUCCCCCAAAGAAAUAUAUUUAAAAGACAAAAGAUUUCUGCAAAAUGUCACUUUUUAUCUUAAAUUGCAAGUAAUUUGUUGCCCCCGCAAGCAGGAUCUGAGUGUAUUGCAGAGAAGUGGAGUAGUGCUGUGUUUCACUGCAUAAUAACCAUCCCUUAGACUAAGAGAGGAGCCACUGACAGCAGCUGGAAGGAAGCAGGCUCUCUGUGUGAUCUGCAGGCCUGAGGAAGGAAGGGCUUAAAUGAAAUAUUAACCACAAACAGGUCCUUGGUGUAUGUUUCACAAGGGAUGCAAAGUUCUUUGGCAACUGGAUACAUAAUAUCAUAGAAUGGCUUGGGUUGUAAGGGACCUCAAAGAUCACCUAGUUCCAAUCCCCCCGCUGAGGGCAGGGUUGCCAGCUACUAGAUCAAACUGCCCAGGAUCCCAUCCAACCUGGCCUUGAAUGCCUCCAGAGAUGGGGCAUGCACCACUUUUCUGGGCAGCCUGUGCCAGUGCCGCACAGCUGCAAAUGCUAUGGCCCCCAAAUGAAGAACUUCCAGUAUUGCUCUAAGGAUAUCUAUUCCUCUGACGACCAAGCAGAUCUAGACUAACCCUUAAAUGGCAGGGGAAAAGAAUAAAAUUAAAUGUAUAGACAGAAAAGACUCUAGGAAGCCUACUUCCAACGGUCCCAUUCACCUGUCACCAAGUUCUGGAGAAAUUUAAUCUUCAGCCCAAAUCCACAAUUCUUCUCAUCCGCCCAGGCUCCAUAUUGGCCAAAUCCAUGCAUUAGCCUGAUAGGGAUCUCUAAGAAGUGAGUCCUCUUGGCCCCAUGCCACAACACACCCCAUGCUCACGGACCACAAAGGAAAUCUCAGUGAAAAUACUAGCAUCCAACAGAAAGUAAAAGACAACAAAGUGAAAGUGCAUUUUACACAUUAACACGAACACAAAAAUAAACCAAAUUCAGUCCUGUCCUCUGCACACAAUUUCACAGAAGCAUAUCAAGGUUGUUUCAUGGCAGAGCUCUGGGUUCAGGCAGAGAAAAGGACUUGACUACUCUCCUUUUUUUUUUCCUUCUUUUCUUUUUUUUCUUCCAUAGAUGUGUGAAUCAAAAGAUUACAGAGGUUUCUUUCCUUGAGCCCAUCUCAAGGAAGGUGAAGGAGGUAAUGCCUCUUCCUUCAUUCACAUUUGAAAAGGAGGAGUAACAAAGGCUCAGGCUUUCAUUGAAAAGAUGCAGGCACCCAUCUCUCAAAUAACUCCAUGCCCUUGGCCUGAGGUGGAAAUUAUGCUGAAUAGAAAGUGGUAUGCAUGUUAAUUAUGAGUGUCUUCCUGCUGAGCUCGGUAGUUGAUCCUACUGUGAACUCUGCAGGCACUGUUUAGAGAGCCAAAACACCUGCCUUGGAUUUCUGAAUGCCAUACUGGGAACUAGCACCUAAAAUCCAGAGCAUACGUGUAAUGCAGUCCAUCCCUAACCAUGAGCCUACAUAAAAAUGUCUAUUGCCGUAUUUCCUAACAUCCGUGUUGUUUUAUGCCACUUUCAAAGAACGCUUUCAGAGCAUUGCAUCCCUGUUAAAUGCAGCUGUGCUGUUAGACUGCUCUACAGUGUCAGUAAACUACUCAAAACAGACACUUAAAGGACUGAGCUACUGAUGGACUGCCAAUCUUUUUACUAUUAGGGCUGAGAUACAGUGCUAGUUCAGAAGGCAAAGAAGCAGAGAACAGAAGUCAAAACCCAGCAAGACUGAGAGGCAGAGGUGAUUUCCUGACCAGUUCCUGCAUGUCACCAGGAUUUCUGCAUAACUCAGUGCACUGAGGAGUUACUUACACACUGCCUGACAGUCAAGUGACACAUAGGAAGCUUUGCAACAGUCAGUCAAUUGUCUGAACAACUCGAACAACGUGCCCUGGCCCCUCCUCCUGGAGGCAUCUUGCAGCAACAUCAAGGACCUGCACAGUCUUCUCUAUAGCAUAUGUUUACAGAGUUUGUGUGGAGGAAACUCCACUUGGUCAGCAUAUAUAACUCCCACAGGAUGCCAGCCACUGCUGGAACAGUGCAAAGAGAUGACAGCUGAGGGAACAAUCUUUCCUAUUAAGUUUUCCAAUUGUGGUUUUUUUUUGUUGUUGUUGUUUGUUUGUUUUUUGUUUUGUUUUGUUUUUUGUCAAUUACAGGUCCCUUGAAAGCAGAAGAAAGGAAAAGUGGAGAAAAGAAUAUUUCAGAAGUGGUCACAUUAUACAGGAAAGCUUACAGACACAGCUCAUGGAGUAAAUGUGUAGAUUUGCGCAUGUGCCAAAAGCUGCUGUCAUUUUUAACUACCACUGACAUGCUGAGGUCUUAAUGAGAUGAGAGGAAAAGAUCAGGAUGCUUCUGUAUCAGCAGGCAUAAAUCAGUGAUGCUUUGUUGCUAGCCAUACUUCAUUUACUUUCAGAAGCUGCUUAUAAUAAUAAUAAAAAACUCUAUGUAUUAACAGUUUAAAUAUCCUUCCUCUCCAUUUUACUAACAUAUAAAAGCCUUAUAUAGAAAGUUAUUGUGGUAAUAUUAAUUAAUACAGCCAGCAAUUGAUCAUUAAAGCAAUACUUAUCAGGAAAAUUGCUCAUGUUUCAGCUACAGGAUAAAGAGAAUUUUUUUUUCUACUUUCUCCAUUCCCACUUGAAUAGGCAGUUAGGCACAAAGAAUUGUAGUUUGAUAGCUGCUGGUAAUAUUAAAUCUCCUGUAUAUACAGCAGACAACAUGGCAUGCAUAGCUCCUUCUAUGUCUCCUCUAGGUGGCUGGCAUUCAUCAGACUGAACACUCCCCUAUUCUUCGUCAGCACUUCCCAUCUGUAAUCUUAGUUUGAAUGCUGCAAGGAAGAGCUCACAUGAAGACCCAGAAAGAGAGAAUUAAAAAGCUCGACCAGCACUCGAAGAACCUACACUAUCCUAUCCUAUGUAUAUAUAUCUAUAUAUCUAUAUAGGUAUCUAUAUAUCUAUAUAGAUAUCUAUAUCUAUAUGUAUAUAUCUAUAUACACUAUCCUAUGUAUAUAUACACUAUAUAUACACUAAAAGCGUGCCCUGUACACUGUCACCCUUUUAUAGUGAAGCAUGUCUUCCCUGUGUGUAGAAUGCACUGUGAUAAUACCCUGAAAUAGUGCAGUCUAUGCCCCACUAGAGAAGUAUUAAAUGCCACUGUCAAAAUGAAUUAUUCCCUCAUCUAGUUGAGCAAAAGCUGUGAUCAUCCUAUUCAGGUCUACACUGUGCUGUAGAGGAAUAAAAAUAGUGGUAAAUGCUAACAGAUAACACUGCUAGUGUAGACUCAUCUAUCUUGAAAAAACCUCCUUUUGUUCCAGCUUGAUAAAAAAAAAAUAUUAUCUAACCUUAACACAAAACUAAACUACAGGUAAAAAGGCAAAAUGUGUUGGGUAAAUUAACCUAAGUUAGGUAGGGGCUUUUACCUCUACAGUUAAGUCAGGUAUGGGCCAGGAUUUGUGCUAUGACUAAACUGGAAGAGGCAGGAGAGCUUCAAAGUGCAUGUUCUGACUCAUCAUAUUCCACGUGAAGGAAACUCAAGUUAUGUGCUCUCCCCUGCUUAGCUGGAAAGAAAAGUGGGCGUGUAGGCAAGAUGGGAGCUGUGGCAUGCUCAGUAAGGCUCUCAGUAGGAUGACUGGAGAUCUCAACCCAAUGGUUUCCCAUGAAUUGCUACUACAAGUCAUUCUCUCUGCACUUCUCACCAGUUAAGUAAGUAAAGUAGCAAAGAAAAAGCUGUCAUCCCAUUUAGGCUGCACUGAGAAUCCAUAUUUCAUCACUAGUGUUAUUUUGCAGACUUAAGUCAGUUGGGUGUCUACAAAUCAAGGUUUGUCAUUCUCUACUCAGUUGAAUUAAGUGAUUACCAAUAAUUCAUGUUCACUUGCAACUGCAGAUGCUAGCCUAACAAAUACUCCCAAACAUUUUUUCAAGUAUGUAAUCAUUUUUCUGCUAUUCUAGAGUCACAAAUAAGAAGCGUUUAUCAUUGCCUUACUUUAUAGUAUAAAAAAAUUGAAUGUGAGUCUACACAGCUCUAUUUGGGCUGGACAAAUUGCAGAUUUUAAGUGUGGGUUUGUUUGUUUUUUUUUUUGUUUUGUUUGAAAACAGUAUAGCAUGAAGGUAGACAUGCAUUUGAACAGUGUUAAUCUUUUGCAGACAAUGCUAAAUCGGGGGGAUCAGCUGACACAGCAAAUAGCAAUCCAGAGGCACCUUCAGACACCUGGACACCCAGAAGUCUCCUUCAGCAAAUCUCGAACACCUUCACUGUUUCUACUACAGGCUUCCUAACAGAGCAUCCAAGUAGGACAUCCUUAUUAUAGACAAUCACCCUUUUGUUCUACAGUGUUGGGCUCAGUCAUGGAUAAAAGAGGAUUCAUAUAGUUCAUGAUAGAAAUCACUAAGCAGUUUUCGCUUACUUCCCGUGUCCCUAUCUGGGUCAAAAGCAGCCUUCUGUCCGUUCACUUGUAAGUCCUGCAUGAGAAUCUAUUUUAAUGAAUGAGUGUUUAUAAAUCCCUCUUAAGAGGAAUCUUUUAAUGCUAGAGCUCAGGACUGUUAUUUUAUACCCUUGGUCAGUGCAUUUACCUUUUCUCUCUAAUGCAUGUAAGGUCAGAUCUCUUCAGACCUGUGUCUGAUCCCACGAUGCACUGGUGUGACUACAGCCUUUUGAGAAUGCAACUCCUAAUUCCCUGGUGCCACAAAUUCUUCAGCACACUGAACAUCUGCAGCUUUUUUUGGCUUCCACAGUUGUGAGUCACUGCGGCCCCCAAAACUCUAUGCAGAUCUCUAACCAUUAAUUCUACUAAACCAGGACAGGAAUCUAAAAACAAGACUUCUUCAAGGCAUCUCAGAUAUGAAGGCACUAUAGACAUCAUUUUAUUACCCAUCACUUUAUUGCCCAUUAUCCUACGGUCGUUUAUGCUCAGACAGGAUAUAAAAGCUACAAUUUAGGCCCAGUUACCAUUUAAAUCAAAUUUGCAGUCACUUUAUGCAUAAUACAGGGCAAUGGGAACUGAGGCCAUAAUCUGACUGCACAGAGGCUUCAGCGGCAAAGCUUGUUUCAAUGGAUUACCUUUUCCAAAUGCUCUGCAACCAGGUCAGUUAAAGCACUGCAACGCAACACCAUUUAAAUCUACAACACGCAUUCAAAAAUGUUAUUUGAUAGUUUGCUGCAUUAAACUUAAAGAUGUCAUGUCUCGGCACAGGAAAAAAAGCUUUAUUUUCAUUAAAUUAAUGCAAUUUUAUAAGUUCUGCAUUGGGCAUGCAGACCUUUCACAUCAGAGCAACCAGACUUUCUUGUCUCAUGUCUUUAGGUUACCCUUAGGUUGUGUAAGAUGAAGCAGCAGAAACGCCUCUAAUGAAAAGAUUCAAAUGAUAUGCUGACUUUGGGGACAAAUUAGUUCCACAGGUACAGAGUGGAAUAAUACUAAGCUCAUGUAAACAAGUGGGAUUUGCCUUCUAAACUUGGACUUGCAUCCUUAAGGUAUUAGAAAUGAACACUGAAGUUCAACACACGCUUUGUGAUCAAAGCAUAAGAAGUACAGAACCCGGUACUGUUACAUGAAUACAAUAACCACCUAUUCUGAAUGUUUUCUCUGAGUCCAACCAUUAAGUGCUUAAACAAAAAUUGCUGCUGUAUUUUCAUUCCAAACUGUUGACCAAAAUCAGAAGGGGCCUAUUUUGACACAGUGGCUGCUUUUGCAAGAAGAACAGGAGUCUGGGGAGAAAUAAUAGGGAAAUAUCAAGAGGGAACUUGCAAGAUUUCCCAAAUUUUCAAUUUUGAUACCUAAGCUUUGAUCUGAAACUUACAUCUCUGCAACCCCAAAUGCAGUCCAAACUUAAUCUGCAUGCAGGCUCCUCAGCAUGUUUCUGAUUGUAGGAAAUAUAUUUUCAGUAACGGGGAAAAAAAAUAUUAGUAGUCUCAUCUACUUAUUUUUAAGACAAAAAAAGGGUCCAAAAGAAAAGGCCGUUUUUCAAACAACUUGCCAAACCUGAAGUCAUUUUGUAAAAUGUGCCCAUUAAUCAGCUUUCUGAAAAAGUUCUCUGUGUACAGCCAAAGAUCUGUUUUGUUGAUGACCAUUUCUGAUUUUAGAAAAGCAAGCAGUUUAAAAGUUGCUGAAGUGUGCUGGCUUCUAACUGACACCUUGUUUGCUGCAAUGCCUGAGUGCGCUGAACUGUUCAGAAUCUGAGUGUGCUAAACGUAAUCCAGCAGCUCACAUCUGUUGCUUUUUAUCACACAGGCUAUCUAGUAUCAGAAAGACAACCUAAUAAACGUUUUGAAAAAGAAAACAACAACAAAAAGAAGAACAAAAAUAAAGUGCUGUAUUAUCUAGGGCAUUUUUUCCCCCAGCCAUCUGUUUUGAACUGGGUACAUGCACAGAACUCCAAUUUUACGUUCACAGGAGAACUCUUUCAGAGACUGUACGAGAAAUCUUAACUUCUGCCUUAUUCUUAACAGCCAGAAACAGAAACUGUGAUGCCUUCACUCUCCUUGUAAAAGGAGAAGUUAUAGCCUUCAUAAACAUAAACAAGCACUUCAGAUCAUUUCUGGGAUGAUGAUGCAUUCUGAGGAAGUGCACUGAAUCGUUUUUUUGUUCCUCCUACAGCAUUCUUGCCUGUGGAGCAGUGAUGGAAUUUGUACUGCAAUGGUUUAAAACACCACCACCACCACCAACAAAGAACAACUGAAUUUCCUCGGUUCCUGUCAGCCAUUCUUUAUGGGUCUCAAAGAAUCCUUCACUAAACCCCAUCCUCCACCUGAAGGUAAGUGAAUGGCAGUUAUCUGAUUUAUACAUUUGCCAAAUUCUACCGGGUGUCUGCUGAGCCCAUAAUCUUCUUGAACUCCAGCUUAAGAGCAGGCUGAGAUCACCAGGGUUUCUGCACAGCUUCAAAGCUCCCUAAAGCGGAACUGCGACUCUCAGACUGAACAAAUGUCACCAGGCUGUGUGCACAGCUUUGAAGCUCCUUGAACCAAAGCCAUUUGUUUCAGAGAGUUUACAAAUUCAGUUAGGCAUAUCUAGAGCACAUGAAAAUUCCAAGAUGUAUCAGCUAUUUUUUGGACUAAGUGGAACUUCAGUGAUCAAAAGUCUGUGUUAUUGGGUUUUUUUGUUUGUUUGUUUUUUUACAAUCAUCUUACUCUACCAAAACCAAUUCCAUCUGGUUGCUAUCAUUAAAAUUUGUAAACAGAAACAAGUUUCCAGACCGUAUUUAACAAGAAGAGGCCCUGUGAGAUUAUAUGUAGCAGCUUCACUGCAAGGACAAAAUCCCUUCGUAGGAAAAGCUCCUUGCCUAAUUAAGAUUCAAACAGUCAUUAAAAAAAUUUCACCAGCAGCUGGAGAAGGCACACAAGAUUUUAAUUUUCAGAAGUUUAUAUGUAGUUACUAAUCAAUUUUAAUCUGGAAGUGAGGUACUGUCUGAAACAUAACGCGUCCAACAGCAUAAAGACAGCUGGAAUAUUUCUCUUUAAAACACAGACCUGGGUGGACUUGUCAGCAGGCAAAAGUGGGUUUUCUCUUACGUAAGUAAUUAGGUCACCAAUUAAUGUCCUUAACACACAACCCGCAUCCUGCAACACAGUUAAGGACCAUGACCAACCUCCUGGUGCACACAUGGAACAUCAGAGCUUUCUCUCGUGUCAAAUGGUGACAACAUUAUUCUGUCCUUUAUUGAACAAAUGUUAGUUUAUGUUAAUCGCAUAUUUAUUUAUCUUUUACAUAUUCAUAAAUAAUUAAGUUCUCAGAACUUCCAGAAAUAGAUCAGCUUCACUUGAGGAAGGCAGAGAAUUAUAAUGAAUCUUCUCAAGGAUUGUCAGCUGCAGCCAGAAUGAAUUACAAAGAAAGAGGGUAAAAAUGCUCUGAUUUUAUCUACAUCUUUCAUUCCCUGGCUAUUUUCUCAAACUGGGAGUUGGGAGUGGAUCAGGAAUAGAGCUCCUAAUUUCCUUCUGCCAUUUCUGUUCUCUGUCGUUCCAUUCAUUUAUUCCUUACCCUGUCUUUCCUUUGCUUCUAGUAUUUCUCUCCCUCCACAUAUUUCCUUUAAGGGAUUUUUGUUCUUUCUAUUCUUGUCUUGGUAACUUUCUCAUUUUCAUUAUCAGUGUUUUGUUUCCUUCAGGUUUCAUCUGUUCUUUUGCCCUUUCUCUUCCCACUUUUAUUUUGACUACACAGCCAAAUGUUCCUUACAGACUUCUGAAGCUACCAUUGCAUAUUCCUUUCUUAGGAAACAUACUUUUGAAUGAAGCCUUUAACCUAAAGCAGGAGACAAAAUUGAUUGGUUUUCAUUUUAUGUAAUAACAAAAGAUCACAACCAUCGGCCUGAAAAUAGGAACAGUAUUUGUUAAGAUAGAGAAGUCAGAACUAACCUAACCUCUCUGGCUGCUUCAGAGGCACACUCUGAGGAACAUUAUUUGAGGAAGAAACAGAGCCAUAGCUUAAAAUCAGUUUCUUCUGCCUUUGUAUUUUCAAGACAAGGUUUUUGCCAAAUGCAGUCUUGUCUUUGGGAAACACUAAUACAUCUCACACUGGCUUAAACUGGUGUAUUGCUGCUGGGUAAAACUAACAUGCUAGCAUUAUACGAACCGCCACUGUUUUUGCAAGAGCUUUAAAAUAAUUAAAAAUUAUCUUUUUGUGCAAGAAAUAUAUCACUUUUACAAGCAAUCUAUGAAGGUGACUUGCAUCUCUUGUAAGAAAACUAGCAGAAUUGUUUUCAAAGAGGAUGACUUUUUCAUUCCUCUCCUAUGUAAGGCUAUUGAUUACUCACAAAAAAACCACACAGGCUUAUUCCCAUCUUCCCAAAAGUGGUAUUGCACACAGCCAUGCCUGAAUAUUCACUCCCUUCUGCCACCUUUACUGAGUGAGACAAUAUCAUGAACACAGGCGGUGGUUUGUGACAUUCUGAUCUGGAGCUCACAGCCACCAGGCUGGCCACAAAGCCUGACAUCUGCAGUAACUCUGUAUGAAAACUAGGAGAGGAAAUGUAGUGUCCUGGGAGGAGAAGGGCAACAUAAGCCUUUGUUCUGACAACUGUAACCAAAUGUACAGUAGCCAUUUACAUUAUAGCCUGUGUAUCUCCUGCAUCUCAUCACCAUGAUAUUAGUGCUAGGUAUUGUAAAGAGAACCUAAGAAGUUCCUCGACCUCCUCGUGCAACUGGCAGGUUGAUUUCAUGGUUUGUUGCCCAGCUAAGCACUCGGGUACAUGUUAAGCUUCAUCAGAACAGAGGCCACCUUCCAUUUCUUGCUAACACAACCGGUGCACUGAAAUGCAGGAAUGUUUUUCAUGAGCUUUCACUGGUACUGAUCAUAAUAUCUAUAUUUCAACCUGCAACUGAUACGUACCAUAAAAAUAAUUUUGUGUGUAAUCUGUAUUUCUGUUUGGUAUAUGAACUCUCACAGCUGAUGUUUCUCCAUCUUUUGGGGCCAGUGCAUUAGUGUUGAGUGGUCAAUGCAUAAUACUGAUUAAUCUUACAGAUUUGCGUUUGUGGAAUGACGACUGCCUGAAAACAGUAAAACCUGCCUGGCCACAGGGAGCUCAUGACAGAGCAUGCAGGUUGUGGUUUCGGAGGUUAAAAGACGAAAACUGACCAGAGAAAGGGGCUGUUCAUCAGGAAACUGAGGCAUGACGUCAGCAACUGAAAAGUAAAAACCUGUAAUUGUUCUUACAAAACAAGAGGCAUAGCACACGUUGUCUAAAGUACUCAGCGUUUUGCUACCAGGAGCACUUCAGCAACUUGUCUCACAAAGCCAAGAGAUGAAUGUUGUUGAAACUGUGCCAUUCUGUGUACAUGACUUCAAAAACUACAUAAGUACAAGCAACAGAAGUGACAAUCUGGGGAAGAACCGAUAUUAAUGAGAGGAACCCACAGUCCUCUAGGAGGAAAUGACUGCCAUGAGAAUGACUUCAGAGGAAUACACGCUUGGGGCUGAAGUGGCAGCAGAGAGAUUUCUAUUCAGCAAAGAUAAUGCGGAUCCAUAUAUGCACAAAUAUUUUUAGUGGCAGAAAUCUUUUGACUGGAAUUAAAAUAUACUUACUUAGCUUUCCAUUUUAUAUCACCAGUAUACAGAUCAGCUAAUACUAAGCCUGCCUUUUUGAACACAGAAUAAAGCAUAUGCUUAACUGUAAGGCAUUACCGCGCUCUGCUACAAAUGCCUGUUUGUUGAGCAUGAUUUAUGGAAUGUAGUGCAAGUCACAGGAAGAACAAAUUAAACACUGCAAAUAUUCAUCCCCACUCCAAUUCUAUGGAUUUGCAGCUGUUAUGCGACGCAGUACCCAAAAGAAUGCUAUAAGCAGAAUGGGGGAAGCUAUUGCAUUGAUUGUUUGAGCUUGAACGUGGAUCUUCAACAGCAGAAGGCAUAGUUAGCUGCUAGCCAAGGUGAAACUGAUUUCAGUCUUUGCUCUUUAGAGCAACAAGAGCUGCUGCAGAGGCUGUAGUCUGCCUGGAUUCUUAAGGGCAAGGGAGUCAGGCCCCAAUAUGCAAAGGAGUGGGGAAACAAAGGUUUCCCCUGUAUUUUCACAAGCAACCUCUGGUCAGCUAUGGGCAAUGACAGAUUCUAGAGAAAAAUCCAGUCUUCCUGAAAACAUUUGAAUGACUCUCACUUAUACAGCAAGCUGUUUUCAAACUUGUCUGCAGCUGAGAUGUAGUCUCACCUAAAACAGAGUGCUGCACUAAUUCUGCAUCAGCUUUUCUGAAGAGGUUUUAGCUAACGCUGUGAAGUUUUUUUUGGGGGGGAGCCAAAAUAGAGUUGGUCACAUCUGUACUUUGACCAGAAUACUCAGAUUAGCAGCCAGACUUUGUGAACAGAGACAGGAAAUAUAGUCUCAUUAAAUCCUGGUGUCUCGGUGCAUGAAAAGAGGCCUUUGCUACACUGUUGGAGUUGUUCCUUAUUCUGAGCAAACCUGACAGCUCUCCUUCAUGCCUGACCCUGGCAGCUUCUAUCUGCAACCGUUCUCCUGAAGUUCUCCAUCGCUUUAAAGGAAGCAAACAAGUAUUUAUCCCAUCCCACGGCCACGAAAACUGAGGCACUGCAAGUGCUUCUUCCCAUGGAAACUUCUAGUUGAAAGAUGUGCGUGAUCUGCAAAAAGAAACUAAACGGUGCAGCACCUGAGGCUGCAGGAAGUGCUGAUGUCAAAGCCCUGAGCCGAAGUCAGCCACUGCCAGCCCCUUGCCCUGCCCGCAAAGCACACGGAGCUCCUCGCCCCGGGGAUCCACGGCCCAGAGCGCAGUGCCACGCAGGCCGGCAGGGCCGCCCCUGCCCUGGCGCCCACACUGCAGCCAGCUGUGUGGGGAACCUGACGGUGGCUGCCGGGCGCCGUACUGUGCAAAGAGGAGGAGGUGGGGAAGCGAGGAGGAACCCAGCGAGCGCUCUGUAAAGGCGAUGAAACGCUGCGCUCCCUGGGUUCACGCGCGGUUCGCUGGAAGCUCCAUCCAAGCGGCGAUCGGUGCGAAACUACUUAAUUCACAACAUUAAGAGAGGGGGGGAAAAAAAAAAAGGCAGAGGUAACAUGGCUGCAUUCGGAGGCACGAGUAACGCUCUUCCUCACAGCCGGAGCAACACGAAGAUCCUUACGUCUUUCUCCAACAGCGGACAGGGACCGCAGCGCAACCUUCCCAACGCGUUACCCCGACCGCCUCCGUCACGCCAGCAGCGGUCGGCGAGAGGUCCCGGGGCCGCCUUACGUAACUCCGUGCCCCGAGCCGCCCUCAGCACGCGGGCAGGCGGCCCCCCUCGCCCUCCGCGUGCGGAUCGGGGCGGCCCGGCCUGCGCGGAGCCGGGGCGCCGCGGAAACUUUGCGCCGCGGGGGCCGCGCGCUCCGAGCCCCGCAGCCGGCGGGGAAGUUGCGCCGAGCUCGGGCGGCGGCCUCUGGGGGCAGAGGGGCGGCAGCGGGGGCUG